CAAACGUUCCAAGCGGAUGAAAUCCCCUCCGUGGGACACAAAUCCCAGCAGCCUGAGGAGCUGUGCUCCAUUUUGCACCUUCUGGACCUUUUGCAAGGAAAAUGAAGCAUUUUCAGAGUGCCCCCAGGAUAUCCUGAGAUGGAAGGGACCCACCAGGAUCAUCAAAUCCAAUUCCACAAUGCCAGAGGGAAAAUGAGAGCUCCAGCACAGAUCUGUUCUGCCACCGUGUGCGACCCACAGUGCACCAAUGGUGUGAAAGUUUUUUACUUUGAGACCAAUGAAAUUGGUCUUCACGACGUUCUCUGUAAAAGGGAGACAUACUUUGAAUAAACGGUUCAUUCUUUGC